AAAGAGCGUGGUGGAAAGAAAACACAAACGGUUCGGGACUUAGGAUUUUCCCCGGGAAGUGAACAAAAUAUAACCGGAGAUGGCAGAGGCCCACCAGGCGGUGGCCUUCCAGUUCACCAUCACCCCCGAGGGCAUGGACCUGCAGCUGUCCUACCAGGCCCUGCACCAGAUCUACCGCUCUGGGCUCCGCUCCUGGAAGAAACGGAUCAGCCGCAUGCAGAACAGGGUGAUCAAGGGAGUGUAUCCUGCGAGCCCUUCUUCCUGGCUCUUCGUCGUCAUAGCGAUCCUGGCAACCAUGUACAUGCGCUCUGAUCCCAGCAUGGGCCUGAUUGCCAAGAUACAGCAGCACCUGCCACUGAGUCUGCACGUGUCCCUGAGCUCGCAGGGCCAGACCAUGCUGUCGGCGCUGGUGUUCAGCACGCUGCUCUGGCUCUCGGUCAUCCUGGCCCUGCGCUUCUGCCUCAAGCUGCUGCUGUCCUACCACCGCUGGAUGUUCGAGAAGCACGGAAGCACCUCCACCACCACCAAAGUCUGGGUGACAUUGUUACGGCUGUUGUCGGGCAGGAAACCGCUUCUUUACAGCUACCAGACUUCUCUACCACACCUCCCCGUCCCCACCAUCAAGGACACGCUCAGUAGGUACCUGGAGUCGGUGCACCCGUUGCUGACGGGUCCCGGGUUCGAGCGGAUGACGGGGCUGGCCAAUCAGUUUGAGCUGAGCCUCGGGAACCGGCUGCAGCGCUACCUCAAGCUGAAGGCUCUCUGGGCCACCAACUACGUGAGUGACUGGUGGGAGGAGUACAUCUACCUGCGCGGUCGCGGCCCCAUCAUGGUCAACAGCAACUACUACGGCAUGGACUUCCUGUACGUGACCCCCACGUCGGUCCAGGCGGCCCGGGCGGGGAACACCAUCACGGCCCUGCUCCUCUACCGCCGCAAGGUCAACCGGGAGGAGCUCAAGCCGAGCCGCGUUCCCGGUACGGUCAUCCCGCUGUGUGCCGCCCAGUGUGAGCGAAUGUUCAACACCACCCGCACACCUGGGAUUGAGACAGACGUCCUCCAGCACUGGCAGGACAGCGAGUUUGUGGCGGUGUACCACCGGGGCCGGUUCUUCCGCCUGUGGGUGUACCAGGCGGGCCGGCUGCUCAGCCCCAGGGAGAUCCAGUCCCAGGUGCAGAGGAUCCUGGACGACCCCUCCCCCCCCCAGCCGGGCGAGGAGAAGCUGGGGGCCCUCACGGCAGGCGACAGAGUCCCCUGGUCGGAGGUGCGUAAGCGCCACUUCGGCGCCGGGGUGAACCGGCGCUCGCUGGACGUCAUCGAGCGGGCGGCCUUCUUCGUCACGCUGGACGAGGAGGAGCAGGGCAUGAGGGGGGACGACCCCGCCGGCAACCUGGACCGCUACGCCAAGUCCCUGCUGCACGGGAAGUGCUACGACAGGUGGUUCGAUAAAUCGUUCUCCAUCAUCGUCUACAAAAACGGCAAGAACGGCCUCAACGCAGAGCACUCCUGGGCCGACGCCCCCACCGUGGCACACCUGUGGGAGUACACCCUGGCCACGGAUGCCUUCCAGCUGGGCUACACAGAGGACGGCCACUGUAAGGGCGAGGUGGACCGCUCGCUCCCGCACCCACAGAGGCUGCUGUGGGACAUUCCCUCAGAGGUCCAGGCUCAGGUGUCCAGCUCUCUGGCGGUAGCUCAGCAGCUGGCGGACGAUGUGGACUGCCACGUGUUCCCCUUCAGGGACUUUGGGAAGGGCCGCAUCAAGAAGCUCCGCAUCAGCCCGGACGCCUUCAUCCAGCUGAGCCUACAGCUGGCCUACUACAGGGACCGCGGGGGCUUCUGCCUGACCUACGAGGCGUCCAUGACGCGCCUGUUCCGGGAGGGCCGCACCGAGACGGUCCGGUCCUGCUCCAACGAGAGCUGUGACUUCGUGAAGGCCCUGGCUGGAGGAGAGGAGGAGGAGCAUUGCAGACAGCUGUUCCGACGGGCUGCCGAGAAGCAUCAGAACCUCUACCGACUGGCUAUGACGGGCGACGGCAUCGACAGACACCUCUUCUGUCUGUACGUGGUGUCCAAGUACCUCGGUGUGGACUCCCCCUUCCUCAAAGAGGUUCUUUCCGAGCCCUGGCGUCUCUCCACUAGCCAGACCCCCCUGCAGCAGAUGGAGCUAUUUGACCUCAAAAACAACCCGGAGUUCAUAUCCCUGGGCGGAGGCUUCGGACCUGUUGCGGACGAUGGCUACGGAGUGUCCUACAUCAUCGUGGGGGAGGACAUGAUCAACUUCCACGUGUCCUCAAAGCACUCUUGCAGUGGAACCGACUCCCAUCGGUUUGGGCAGCAGAUAAGUCGGGCGUUUAAGGACAUCUUGGCCCUCCUCUCGUCUCCCGAUGGCAAGGCCGCCAUGCCGAGGAGCCCCCCCCAGCCACAGACCAAGAAGGCUCUCUGAGCUCGAACCACCAGCACGCCCGUUAGAUCUUCUUGAACAAGACUGUACAAAAUGGUGGAAGAAACCAACAGAUGUCCUCUCGUACCACCACUCCACCUCUGGAUGCUCAUUGGGCCCCGGAUCCGUCUUACACUUGACCUGGAUGUCCAGCCAGUAAACUUAAAAUGUGUUUUUAGAAAAUGUUAUUAAGUAUAUUUUGUUAAAGGGAAAUAGGCAGGCAUCCUUCAUCCUGUUGGUUUUGCCUCUCAGUUGGAUGUGGCCUAAAACGAACAUGAACAGCUAGUCUCUAUGAAGGCAAAUUACCUUUUAAUUAGUGUACAAAAUAGUGAAUCAACAAGCUUUUAUUUUUAUAUAUAUAUAUAUAUAUAUAUAUAUAUAUAUAUAUAUAUAUAUAUAUAUACACACACACACGAAUUGUUUAUUGUUACAAAGGGACAGGACACUGGGAUAGGGGCCACUUUGGUAAGAGAUUUUCCUUAUUUUUACCUACUUAAGUUACAGGGGCGUAUUUGCUAGUUAUAUCACAAGAUCAUCAAAAACGGUACGGUGAUGUAUUAAUGAAGCAAUUAGUCGUGCUCCAAAUAAUGGAGUGUCUACUUCUGGUAUGUAGAGUGUGAGUUCAUACGAGUCGUUUCUAUGAUUUAGUAUGCCUUUUUUUCAAAUGGUCUUCAAAAGGAAGGAAAACAAGGUAUCAAAUGGCUUAGUUUCACACGGUCAUCUAAAAUCUAUGUUUUAUAUUCUAUAAAUGAUCAGGGCCUUCAUCCUGUAGCUAUCACCUUGGGGUUCGUUGUAAAAAAAAAUGUCUAACGUGGUGCAUUCAAAGCAUAGAGCAAGCUUCCCAUCCAUUGCUAAACCAGGGCUAGCCGGUUGAUUAGGAGACCGCAACGUCCCUCGUGGCUGUUACCGUAGACCAGUGGGGAGUCUCCAUUUGCUACGCGGGGACGGUGAUGCAUGUCUAACUUGUUUAAUGAUCUGAAGGACCUGUGUUUUAACGAGAACCAUUUAACCAUGUAACCUUCGUAGUCAGACUAAUGGUAACGUCUGGUGUACCGAAGACUGCGGAUACCGUAGAGCUUUUAUUUUGUAUAACUUUGUGAUUGUUCACGUGUUGGUGUUGACCUGAUUUAAAAUGUUGACGCAGAUCUGGUAUGACGGCACAUACUUGAUACAGAAGCUCACAAAAUACUGCCACCUAUGUUUAGACACAAGGGGGUUUUCCUUGAGCGCUCCCUCUGUCUGACACAUGGCUCUUGGCUCAGCCGCUCUCGCUGUUUUGCAAAGGAAGGAUUUAAUAAAUAACGGGGUUUUUUUUCAAUCGUGUGUGUGCGUGCGUUUGCGCGCGCGCGCGGGUGUGUGUGUCCCCUGCAGGAAAUUUGGUUCUUUUGAAGAAAGGGGUGGACUAGGUCCAUUGAAGAAACCUUGCUUGGCUAGUGUUAAUGAAAAAUCGUAUCAUUUUGUUUAAGGCCGGUAAUGAUUAACUGCAAUGACUGCUUAGUGCCUUUCAUGGUGCGUUGGCUCAUCAGUGUGCUCUGGAUUUCUUCAUGUAAGAGGACUCUUUCAAUGCAAUUGUUAAUCAAUGAAAUUUCUUAAUGGACAAUUUUUUACCUUUAUUCGAUUUCCCGUAUGUUUUUUGAGGUGUGCAGCGGAUAGCCAGUUCAUCUGAUGCUUGAGAGGCGUGUCCCCAAGUUGAAAGUGAAACAAUAAGGCAGACGCCGCAAGAAGCCCUUGAAUGCUGCCGGUAUUUUUUCCCUUGGCAAGAGUCCUUAUGGUUUCCCAAGCAGCAUGGUUCCACUGAGAUUCAUGUGCGACAUUGCCCUUUGUCUCUUGGUGUUCCUGUGCAUAAUAGGUCGGUCCCUCCAAGGCUGUGACGACUAUUUGGAUAACUCCGCUAAGUUUCUGAAAGCGAAUUUCUCACCACACCAAUACAUCCGACUGGAAGGACUCUCCCUGAAUCCGGCUAGAGGAACAAUGAACCGCUCUGAAGUGGCGAACUGCACCACGCAUCAGUGGUGCAUCCACUCCGGAGAUAAUAAAUCACGUCAAUGCAAUAUAUAUAAAAGCUGUUUCAACGAAUAUAUGAAUCUCGCCCAAACGGGUUGCGAUUCAGCUCACGAGCUAUAUCCCCAAAAGAUGGAAAUGGUCUCCAUGCUUCAGCUGUAUUGUAUGGUGAACAUUGUGAAAAACAGGACAGAUUUUCCUUCCGAGUGCAAGGAAGGAGAAAAGAUCUAUGUCUGCACGCUGAAACCCACAGAGAAAACUCCCACUCCGUCGUUUCACGAUAAAACAACAACAGAAGCAGCGACAACAGAAGCAGCAACAACAGAAGCAGCGACAACAGAAGCAGCGACAACAAAAGCAGCAACAACAGAAGCAGCAACAACAGAAGCAGCAACAACAUGCGGCUCAAAAUCCGAAAGUAGCAUAGACAACCAAGACAACCAAGGUUUUAUUGCGUCUAACGUGGUUCUAGUGUUCCUGUUGGUCUUACUUAUCGUCUCAAAUGCAACCUGGUGUCAGUACUCCCGAAGACAAAGAAGAAUACACGAGCUUUGGAGAGCGGGACACCAAUGUGCUUGCCCAGACCAGCUAUUGACGGAGUUUACGGAUCAAGAGUCGAGGCCUUGACAGAACUUCUGGGGGGAACCACGCAGAACCGGGGAGGACGCAAGGGCCUUACGCUGUGUUUGUUUUUUUUACAAUUUGUUGUAUUAUAUGGAUAUGGUAUUUGUCUAUAUGGAUAUUUCCGAUGAUAGCCGCCAGUCUUUUACACGGCUUUCCACUCCAACCUAUAAAAGUAAAGUGCCAUUCUGACUGCUGUAGAGUUGUAUAUUAGCCAAAGCAAAAUGUUUUACCAAAAAAAGAUCCAUCCGAAACCCCGCCCUGAGGUUCGCUCAGCGGGGUUUGCAGUCCGGGGCCCAUGAAAGGAGACUGGAAUGGGUCUUUUCCGUUUUUUUAGAUCCCCUAUAUUUCAACUAGACAAUGUUCUCCUUUCAUCACAAAAGAAAUGCAUUUUUUUUAAAGGUGUCGUGUGUAGGAUUUAUUGCCACCUAGUGACGAUGUUGCAGAUUGCAACCAACUGAAUACCCCUCCCUCUCCCUUUCCAACCACGCAGUAGAUAAGCUACCUUGGCCUGAAAGGUGCCAUUAGGUACCUCCAGAAUGUUGUAAUUUAUGGCGUGUCAAGUAAUGAGGUUCCUUGGUCGAUUUAAUUGUUCAUUGUUCAGGACUACUUCACAACACAGCUGUGCCACAUAGCGGGCUCCAUGGCCGAGGUCCCUAUCCCGCUGCCGUAUGGAGAUUUAAAGAGCUCAUUCUGAGCUAGCAAAAACAAAGAUUGGUAUUUUCAUGGGAUGAUGCAUUGAUUUCAAACAUACUUUAAAAGUGAAAGGCUUCAAGCUAGCUAUUCAAAGUCGAUGUCACCUGAAGGAAACUGUGCUUUAUGUGUUUUUUCUACAACAGUGAGCCGUAUUAUGUAUAGGUGUGUAUUAUAGGAUUGUAUUAUUCAACCCUUUUUUUUAAAUGCAGAAAACAUCAACUACUUCAACUCUUUAUUCUCCAAUUCAUCCAUUUCAUGACUGUGUGUUGAAUUUGCCUGAAAUGAUGUGAUUCGUGUUGUAUCAUUUGUUGAUAAAACUUUGAUAUUGUGUAUUAUAUGUACAAUGUUUCCAAAAAAAAGGCAUGCAUAUUGGAUGUAUCAUAUAUCACAUAGUUUGUAGGUUUGAAGCUUUUUAAGCUUUAACAAUAAGGUUACAUUAAUUAGCCGUUCAUUAACAUUAGUAUAGUAUAAACUAACAUUUAACUAAAGGUUAAUUAACCGUUAACUAAUGGUAUAGUAAAUCUGUAAUAAUCUGUAAAUCUUUACUUAUGGUGUUCAUGUUGAUUAAGCUAUUCAUUCAUACAUUAUUUAAUAGGGGUAGGGUAAGGGUUAUGUAAGUUAAUUAGGAAUAUUAGUUAAUUUGAUUAAUGUGAUAGUUUUACUUUUACAUUUAGGGCAUUUAGCAGACGCUUUUAUCCAAAGCGACUUGCAAUAAGUACAUUUGUCAUAAGAAGUGCAACAAUAUAUCACUGUCGGUACAGUAAGGAUGUUCAUAGAACCAAGUGCAAGUACCAUAAUCGCUAGGCUAAUCAAUUCCCCGUGUUAAAGCAAUGAUAGCAGCUACUGCAGUUGCUACACAGUUAAAGGACAAUUCCGGUAUUUUGAUCAUUGAGCCCCCUUUCUGGUUUGUUUAGGAUGAAAUAGAGUGGGUGACACAGAAAUUUGAACUAUAAGUCCUUUCUCGGGUAUUUGGCUCAUUUUGAAUCGCUCCUGCCUGCUCCACAAUGGUUGUCUGUGUGCAUACACAAACCUGUCAACCCAGCAACCCUAAACGUUCGUUUUCAAAAAUGUGCAAGUAACCGAGUGGUUAGUGGCAUUCGUGAAGUUUAAAAAAAAUAUAUCGGCGCAAUAUAUGGUUUCCAUCCGUGUUAGUUGCUAACUGGAACUAUUUUUUCAGAUACCUCACAACCGCAUAUAAACUUCCGCAAAAGGUCCCACUCCGUGCAGCACCUACUUUCGACUUCCUUCGGCGUCUGCCUGCACUUCCCACAGGCACACCCAUAGGGCACACCACCCGCCCGUGAUCGUGGGGACCGCUUCCGCCGGAGCUUCAGGCGCCUCCGUAGCCCCAGCCUCCAUCUCACGUAGCUCCUCUUGGGUGAAUUCUGGUUCAAAACGAUAUCCUCUGCCGUCAAACUCAAAAUCGAGUGCGUCCUCCAGAAGCCACCUUUCAUAAUCCAUUUUCAGUGAUUUUCUAUGUGAUUUUCCCUAAUCCGAGGUGCGCACGGUACAAGACUUCAAACCCAUAGACAUGUUCAAACCAACGUAAACAGCCCACCUUUACGGUUCGGCGGAGUAAUAUCAUCGUGCAGUAAUGAGUCUUCCAACUGAAAUCAACUGGCGAUAAAUGUGCAAUAAAACACGACAGAAACCAUAUAUUGCGCCGAUAAUUCUUUUUUAAACUUCACGAAUGCCACUAACCACUCGGUUACUUGCACAUUUUUGAAAACGAACGUUUAGGGUUGCUUGGUUGACAGGUUUGUCUAUGCACACAGACAACCAUUGUGAAGCAGGCAGGAGCGAUUCAAAAUGAGCCAAAUACCCGAGAAAGGACUAAUAGUUAAAAUUUCGGUGUCACCCACUCUAUUUCAUCCUAAACAAACCAGAAAGGGGGCUCAAUGUUCAAAAUACCGGAAUUGUCCUUUAAGUACCAUAAUACCAUACAAUACAAUACAGUGUACAAUGGUGGCCAGAAGGGGGAGGGUGGCUAUGCAGUGUCGAGGUGGACUCUGAACAGGUGAGUCUUGAGUCUUUUUCGGAAGAUAGUGAGCGACUCUGCGGUCCUGAGAACGGCAGGGAGCUCGUUCCACCACUGAGGCCCCAAAACCGAGAAAAGUUGUGACUUUGCUGAUCGACCUUUGCUAGCUCUUAGCGAUGGCGGUACCAGGCGGGCUGGACUGGCCAUCGGGCGUACCGGGCAAUGCCCGGUGGGCUGGCAGGCCUUUUUGGGCCGACGAGGUUUACUUGAGGUUUACUUUUUUUUUUCUUUUUUUUUUAUUAUUAUUAUUUUUUGUCACACAGCCGAGGAGGGCCGAGGUCCGUUCCUUCCCUCUCGGUCGUGCGGGCUGUCAACUUAACCUGAAAGUUCAAUACAACUUUGGGCCGGGCCAUAACUCAUUAUGAUUGGUUCUGGGCUGGCCCUGGCCCUAUCACACACACAGCAGAGGGCCGAGGUCCCGCCCCUUGGGUCUCGGCUGUCAAUCAGUCAAUCAGUCACGUCACUAACUGACAGAAAAAUGGAGAAGAAACGUAAAGGAGGCGCGGAGAAUCUCUCUCUCUCUCUCUCUCUCUCUCUCUCUCUCUCUCUCUCUCUCUCUCUCUCUCUCUCUCUCUCUCUCUCUCUC